AGGCGCCCGCGCCGCGCUCGCACACGCUGCCCGCGCACCCCGCCGGCGAGCCCAAGCGCCGCUCCUUCUUCACGCUCAAGAAGAACUAAGCGGCGAGGAAGCCUCGGACAGCCGCUCGUAACGCCCGCAUCACGUUUCUCAUUACGCACGCCGCGUCCGCGACCAGCGCGCUACGUGUUCGCGAUACGUGCCCGCGACACGCGACACGUGCUCGUGACACGCGACACGUGCUCGUGACACGCGACACGUGCUCGUGACACGCGACACGUGCUCGUGACACGCGACGCGCGCCCGAGCCCCCAGGCCGGUCCCCCGGACGCCGCAUAUUUCUCACGAUGCUUGCUGCCGUAAGCUUUGCUAAUGACGAAAUUGUGUCGAGCGGCCGCACUGACGACUGUCAACUGUUUGUUAUUAUUUUGUUGCGUACAAAAAACGUUAUUUAAGACUGUUCGAUAUUUGAGUGUUGAAUUGUUCGCCUUCGUCUGAUGUCGUAUUUAUCACUCGUCCCCCAGCGAGUGAAGAUGUUUUAUCCGAGUAUGAUACGAUCCCACCCCGACGUGUAAUUGUUGUAUCUUGAAACGAUUAUAAAUUUAAAACGUUUUAUGAAAUUCUAAAUGCGACGCUAUUUAUGAAUAGAGGAUUUUUUAGUGUUUAAUUCAGAUGGAAAAAUAUAUAUUAUUUAUUUAUAUACGUAUAUCAUAUAUGUAACUGAUAAAUUAUAGUGUAAAUUCGUUUGAACUAGAAAUGUAUGAUGUUCGAUCGAACCGAGAAGUAAAGUAUCCUAGAUGUUUUAUUAUACUACUGACGACGACCAAGCAGAGAUCGAGACGGAAUUCUAAUCGCAUUUGAUAAUAGACGAGAUAUAUAUAGAUAUGAUUGUAACCGCAUUUACAACCUAUAGUUAAUUUAUCCACUGGAUGUCGUUUUAUUGAUUGACUUGGUCGCGCCGGAGCCGAUGUCGUCUCCUCGCGCGACGCGCUACGUAAUUGAAUAGAAUUAAUUUCCAUUGUGAAGUGUCUUCGUACGAACUUCGACGUCGCUGUCGGCCAACAAGUGCCGCUUUUUAAAAGUUUAAAUUUAUAUCAGAUAUUUCUUGAUAGAUCCUUGGUAAUGUUAAGAAGUGCGUAGUCUAGGUGGUAGCGGGUACGGUGCGUACCGCGGACAGCGAUAUUGAAGUGUAUCUUUAUGAUAAAGAGAGUUGUAAGUAUGCUUUAUGCCUCAUAUCGUGCUUUUAAAGAGAUAAUGUCUUUAUAUUAUUAUAUUUUUUAUCUAAUAAUUAUUUUACUGCCAACAUUUCACAAAUUUAAUAAUUUACUUAUUCGUACCUACGUUUGAAUUUCACCAUUAUUAGAUAAGAUUAUUACGAUCACACAUUUUUAGUUCUGUUUUUAUUUUUGUCUUAGUUUAUAAUUAUUGUAUAGACUGCGCGUGUGUGGGUGUGAGUGUCGAAUAUGUAAUUCUGCGCCUGCGCCUCCUGUCACACUACCGCAUGUAUAACUAUGUUUAAAUAUAUUAUUUCAAAAUUUUACUUUUUUGAGGAAAAUAUAAUAAAUAAUGUUUUCAAAUAA